rnacentral:rRNA from 1 species
CAGCUGUAAACGAUGCAGGCUAGGUGUUAGGGCGGCCACGUGCCGCUCUAGUGCCGCAGGGAAGCUGUUAAGCCUGCCGCCUGGGGAGUACGGCCGCAAGGCUGAAACUUAAAGGAAUUGGCGGGGGAGCACCACAAGGGGUGAAGCUUGCGGUUU